GACGAACGCUGGCGGCGUGCCUAAUACAUGCAAGUCGAACGCUGAAGGAGGAGCUUGCUUCUCUGGAUGAGUUGCGAACGGGUGAGUAACGCGUAGGUAACCUGCCUGGUAGCGGGGGAUAACUAUUGGAAACGAUAGCUAAUACCGCAUAAGAUUGACUAUUGCAUGAUAGUCAGUUAAAAGGUGCAAUUGCAUCACUACCAGAUGGACCUGCGUUGUAUUAGCUAGUUGGGGGGGUAACGGCUCACCAAGGCGACGAUACAUAGCCGACCUGAGAGGGGGAUCGGCCACACUGGGACUGAGACACGGCCCAGACUCCUACGGGAGGCAGCAGUAGGGAAUCUUCGGCAAUGGACGGAAGUCUGACCGAGCAACGCCGCGUGAGUGAAGAAGGUUUUCGGAUCGUAAAGCUCUGUUGUAAGAGAAGAACGAGUGUGAGAGUGGAAAGUUCACACUGUGACGGUAUCUUACCAGAAAGGGACGGCUAACUACGUG
rnacentral:rRNA from 1 species